rnacentral:rRNA from 1 species
AGGGCGCAUGGCGGAUGCCUUGGCUCUCGGAGGCGAUGAAGGACGUGAUAAGCUGCGAUAAGCUUUGGGGAGGUGCAAAUGACCUUUGAUCCAGAGAUUUCCGAAUGGGACAACCCAAUAUCUUGAAGAGGUAUUAUCCAACGUUGUUGGAGGCUAACGCAGGGAACUGAAACAUCUUAGUACCUGCAGGAAAAGAAAAUAAACAAUGAUUCCCCCAGUAGUGGCGAGCGAACGGGGAACAGCCCAAACCAUCCAUGUUACGGCAUGGGUGGGGUUGUAGGACUACGCCGUUGCAUGAAGACAUCAGAGAAGAACUUUCUGGAAAGAAAGACCAUAGAGCAUGACAGUUGCGUAUUCGAAUGUUGUCGAAGCAUAGUAGUAUCCUGAGUAGCGCGGAGCACGAGGAAUUCUGCGUGAAUCUGCCGGGACCAUCCGGUAAGGCUAAAUACUCCCGAGAGACCGAUAGCGAACCAGUACCGUGAGGGAAAGGUGAAAAGCACUUCGAACAGAAGAGUGAAAUAGUUCCUGAAACCGUGCGCCUACAAGCGGUCGGAGCUCGUUAAUGAGUGACGGCGUGCCUUUUGCAUAAUGAACCUACGAGUUGCCUUUGCCGGCAAGGUUAAGUGUGACGACACACGUAUCCGAAGCGAAAGCGAGUCUGAACAGGGCGUAUAGUCGGCAGUGGCAGACGCGAAACCAAGUGAUCUACCCUUGGCCAGGUUGAAGGCUGGGUAACACCAGCUGGAGGACCGCACCAAUAAGCGUUGAAAAGCUUCUGGAUGAGCUGAGGGUAGGGGUGAAAGGCUAAUCAAACUUGGAGAUAGCUCGUACUCCCCGAAAUGCAUUUAGGUGCAGCCUUGCGGGUUACUGAUGUGAGGUAGAGCGACUGAUAAGAUGCGAGGGCUUCACCGCCUAUCAAGUCUUGACAAACUCCGAAUGCGCAUCAGUUCUACCGCAGGAGUGAGGGCAUGGGUGCUAAGGUCCGUGCCCGAGAGGAGAAGAAUCCGGACCACCUGCUAAGGUCCCGAAAUGACAGCUAAGUUAAACUAACGAAGUCUGACUGCUAAGACAGCUAGGAUGUUGGCUUGGAAGCAGCCAUUCAUUUAAAGAGUGCGUAACAGCUCACUAGUCGAGGAGUCGGGCGUGGAUAAUAAUCGGGUAUGAAGUUGUCUACCGAAGCAGUGGGAUCAUUUAUAUGAUCGGUAGGGGAGCAUUCCAGUCGGCGUCGAAGGCGUACCGUGAGGUAUUCUGGAGCGUCUGGAAAAGCAAAUGUAGGUAUAAGUAACGAUAAAGGGGGCGGGAAACCCCCUCGCCGAAAGACUAAGGUUUCCUGAUCAACGCUAAUCGGAUCAGGGUCAGUCGGGUCCUAAGGCUCAGCCGAACGGCGAUGCCGAUGGCAGAAACGGUUAAUAUUCCGUUACUACCUUCAGGAGUGACGUGGAGACGCAGUAGUGACAGUGCCGCCAUCUGACGGAAUAGAUGGUUGAAGGGUGUAGGAGUCGAUCAUGGCAGGCAAAUCCACCAUGAGAUCCGAACCUGACAGUAUGCCGCGUCCUUCGGGACAAGGCAAUAGUGCGCGUAAGCAUGCUGCCGAGAAAAUCCGCUAAACUUAAUCCUGCAGGUACCCGUACCGCAAACGGACACACGUAGUCGGGAUGAAUAUUCUAAGGCGCUUGAGUGAUUCACGGUUAAGGAACUAGGCAAACUGACCCUGUAACUUCGGGAUAAAGGGUCCCUACCCUUUUAUGGGAGGGCGCAGAGAAUCGGUCCAGGCAACUGUUUAACAAAAACACAGGGCUGUGCCAAAUCGAAAGAUCCAGUAUACAGCCUGACACCUGCCCGGUGCUGGAAGGUUAAGAGGAGAUGUCAUCGAUAAGAGAAGCGUUGAAUUGAAGCCCCAGUAAACGGCGGCCGUAACUAUAACGGUCCUAAGGUAGCGAAAUUCCUUGUCGGGUAAGUUCCGACCUGCACGAAUGGUGUAAUGAUCUGGACGCUGUCUCAACCGUGAGCUCAGUGAAAUUGUAGUAUCGGUGAAGAUGCCGAUUACCCGCGAUGGGACGAAAAGACCCCGUGAACCUUUACUAUAGCUUAUCAUUGAAUCUGGGCACGUGAUGUGUAGGAUAGGUCGGAGGCUUUGAAGCAGGUACGCCAGUAUUUGUGGAGCCGCUGUUGAAAUACGACCCUUUAUUUGUUUGGAUUCUAACCCGUGGAACGGGGACAUUGAUUGGUGGGUAGUUUGACUGGGGUGGUCGCCUCCAAAAGCGUAACGGAGGCUUCUAAAGGUGCCCUCCGGCCGAUUGGUAACCGGCCUUAGAGUGUAAUGGCAUAAGGGCGCUUGACUGGGAGACUGACAAGUCGAUCAGGUAGGAAACUAGAGCAUAGUGAUCCGGUGUUUCCGCAUGGAAGGGACAUCGCUCAAAGGAUAAAAGGUACUCCGGGGAUAACAGGCUGAUC